rnacentral:tRNA from 1 species
GGGCCGGUAGCUCAGCUAGGAAGAGCGACGGUUUGCCUAGUCCUCCUAGGCAGGUUGAGGCUUUUAACCCGUAGGACCCGGGUUCAAAUCCCGGCCGGCCCG